GGAAGAGCCACGUCCCCGGUGGGGCGGCUGGACUUCAAAUCCAGAUGGGGACGCCAGCGUUCCUGGGCAGGUUCGACUCCUGUGCUCUUCCGCCA
rnacentral:tRNA from 1 species